UAAACGGGACAAGGGGACAGGGAUGUCUGGCACAGGGAACAGGGAUGCCUGGCACAUAAACGGGACAAGGGGACAGGGAUGCCUGGCACAGGGGACAGGGAUAAACGGGACAAGGGGACAGGGAUGCCUGGCACAGAGGACAGGGAUGCCUGGCACAGGGGACAGGGAUAAACGGGACAAGGGGACAGGGAUGCCUGGCACAGAGGACAGGGAUGCCUGGCACAGGGGACAGGGAUGUCUGGCACAGGGAACAGGGAUGCCUGGCACAUAAACGGGACAACGGGACAGGGAUGCCUGGCGCAGGGAACGGGGAUAAACGGAGCAGGGAUAAACGGGACAGGGGACAGGGACAGCAGGACGAGGAGGCUGCGGGGACACACGGGGCAGCUCGGUGGCAGCGCCGGGCGCUCUCGGGACGGGCAGCGCGGGUGGAAGUCGCCUUCUCUGGCGUGGGGCCUGACUGGGACGAGCCGUGGUGUCCCCGCGAGCGGCGCGGGGGACACUCAGUGUUCGCCAACACAGGUACGGCUGCAGCUGCUUCAGCGGGAGCUGCGGGUGCGGGCCGGGCACGGCCGCGGCUCCGCGGGCGCGGAGCGGGCACCGCCAUUUCCGCCCUCGGGGGGCGCGGAGGAGGACGAGGAGGAGGAGGAGGAGGGAGGGGAAGGCUCCUCCGAAAUGGCGAGAAGGCGCACAGCUCUCCGGUCCCAGAGCGAGCUUGAGCGGAGCGGUUGCGCUCCGCGGGUUCGGCCUCUCGCGGCGAGAGGCGGCCGCGGGCGGGGGUCUCCGUCUCGGUGUGGCCCCGACAAACAGCUGCGGAAGGGGCGGAGACCCGGGACACCCGGCGGGACGCGCCGGGCUGCCCGCGCUCAGGCCACCACUGUCACUGCCACCCGCGCCCGUGGCGCCUGCGGAGCCCCCGAGCCUCAGGGGACACCGGGGGGGCUCCGCGAGGGGACACCGGGACAGCGGUGCCACCCAGGGGACACCGAGAGCGCCGGGGGCUGCCGGGGCUGCGGGGAUGGGGAGGGACGGGGGAGAGGGACGGGGAGGGACAGGCAGGGUGGGCAGGCAAGGGGGGUCGGGCAGGAUGGGCAGUGCCAGGCAAGGGUGGGCAGGCAAAGCAGUCAGUGCCAGGCAGAGUGGUCGGUGCCAGCCUGGGGUGGUCAGGGGGUCAGACAGAGUGGUCAAUGGCAGGCAGAGCGGUCGGGGCGGCCAAGCAGAGUGGUCAGUGGCAGGCAGGGGUGGUCAGGCAAGGCAGUCAGUGCCAGGCUGGGGUGGUCGGGGUGGUCGGGCAGUGCCAGGCAGGAUGGUCAGGGGCGGCCAAGCAGAGUGGUCAAUGCCAGGCUGGGGUGGCCAGGCAGGGUGGUCGGUGCCUGGCACGGGUGGUCAGAGAGAGUGGUCAGUGUCUGGCAGGGUGGUCAGGGCAGUCAGUGCCAGGCAGGGUGGGCAGUGCCAAGCUGGGUGGUCAGAGCAGUCAGUGCCAGGCUGGGUGGCCAGGCAGGGUGGGCAGUGCCAGGCAGGGUGGGCAGUGCCAGGCAGGGUGGUCAGCCAGGGUGGGCAGUGCCAGGCAGGGUGGUCAGGGCAGUCAGUGCCAGGCAGGGUGGGCAGUGCCAGGCAGGGUGGGCAGUGCCAGGCAGGGUGGGCAGCCACGGGCGCGUCCCCACCGGGAUCCCCCAGGGGAGCGGCCCCGGGAAGGGACAGGCAGAGGAAUUCCCGGGAAUUCCCCAAUCCCACAGCGGCGCCAUGGCACCGGGACGUGCUCCGCCCGCCAUGCGACAUUCGACCGUGCGACAUGCCGGAACGCGACAUUCCCGCGUGCGACAUUCCGCCGUGCGACAUUCCCGCAGGCGACAUUCCGCCGUGCGACAUUCCCGCGUGCGACAUUCCCGUAUGCGACAUUCCACCGUGCGACAUUCCGCCGUGCGGCAUUCCGGCACGCGACAUUCCGCCGUGCGACAUGCCGGAACGCGACAUUCCACCGUGCGACAUUCCACCGUGCGACAUUCCACCGUGCGACAUUCCGCCGUGCGACAUUCCCGGCGGGAUGCGGAGGGGCCGGGAGCGCCCCGGGAUGCGCGGAGCGGCUCGGGACAGCACCGGGAGGUGGCGGAGGGACACGGGGACAGAGGGGACAGGGAGCGGAGGGGGCAGGGGAGAGGCACAGGAGGGUGGCACGGCAUCGUCUAGGAUGGGAUUGGGAUGGGAUGUCGGAUGGGAGCUGGGGUUGGGAUCUGGGACGGGAUGUCAGAUUUUGGGUGGGAUUUGGGGUGGGAUCUGGGAUGGGUUGGGAUUUGGGGUGGGAGCUGCCAGCCUGUUCCUGUGCCCGGAGUGUCCCGGGAAUGCCGGACACAGCGGGGACACAGAGCGAGAGUGGCACCGGCCGGGCAAGGGGAGUGGGGAUGGAUUUGGGGGAUACAGGUGGGAUGGAUUUGGGGGAUAAGGGUGGGAUGGAUUUUGGGGAGAUUGCACAGGGUAGAGCUGGAUUUGGGGGCGCAGGUUUGGUCGAUAAGGGUGGGAUGGAUUUAGGGACACAGGUGGGAUGGAUUUGGGGGAUAAGGGUGGGAUGGAUUUUGGGGAAGAUUGCACAGGGUCGGGCUGGAUUUGGGGCCACAGGUGAGGUGAAUUUGGUGGAUAAGGGUGGGAUGGAUUUUGGGGACGUGGGUGGGAUGAAUUUGGGGGUACAGGUGAGGUGAAUUUGGGGGACAAGGGUGGGAUGGAUCUGGGGGAGAUUGCAGAGGGUGGGGCUGGAUUUGGUGGAUAAGGGUUGGAUGGAUUUGGGGGCACAGGGUGGGAUGGAUUUGGGGGCACAGGUGGGCUGGAUUUGGUGGAUAAGGGUUGGACGGAUUUGGGGGCACAGGUGAGGUGAAUUUGGGGGUAAGGGUGGGACGGAUUUGGGGGCACAGGUGAGGUGAAUUUGGGGGUAAGGGUGGGAUGGGUUUGGGGGCACGGGUGAGGUGAAUUUGGGGGUAAGGGUGGGAUGGGUUUGGGGGCACGGGUGAGGUGAAUUUGGGGGUAAGGGUGGGAUGGGUUUGGGGGCACGGGUGAGGUGAAUUUGGGGGUAAGGGUAGGACGGGUUUUGGGUCCCGGUGGGAGGGCGCAGGGCGGGGCUGGGUUUAGAGGGCGGAUUGCGGGGAGGUGACCGUGGGUGGGGCUGGCACAGAGGAUUUGGGGGCCGAGGGUGACACUGGGUGACAUUUGGUGACACCGCGGGGCUGGCAGGGCAGAUCUGGGGACACGGGCGCUGAUUGCGGGGGAGAGGACGGGGACGGGACCUUGGCGGGGGCUGCGGGGACACGGCCGAGGGCAGGACCUGAGCUGGGCGGGGGGCACCGGGCGGGCGCGGUGGCACCGCGGUGGCGCAGGGGAGGGGCCGGGACGUGCCGGGCUCACCGAGCCCGCCAUUCCCGGCUUGUUUUUGUUUUCUUCCCGGGAUAUUUUUUCCCGGCUUGUCGCCCACCGGGCCCUUUCCCGUUCCCGGCUGGGACAGCGGGGUGGCAGCCGGGCACGGGGACAGAACGGCGGGGGUCGCCACGGGGAUGAGGGCUCGGGGAAAAGGAGAUGGCACCGGGGACCCUCCUGGGGACAGCCCGGUGCCCCAACAGAGGGCAGGGACAUCCCGGGGACAUCCCGG